rnacentral:lncRNA from 1 species
UAUAUAUAAAAUGAAAACAUGCAAAUGCGAGUAGAUCAAUAAGUAAUUUUUUUUGAAUGGAAUCCUUAAGCUGCUCUGCUUUCUUUCUUUUCCCAAUUCAGGUCCGAAGUCUGGAGCCGCUCCCGUGUCUCCCGGUGCUUUGUCCCUGCUGCGGCAUAUCCCACCGCCUCCUCCACCCAAGAACCCGGCUCGCCUGAUGGCGCUGGCGCUGGCUGAGAGUGCGCACCAGGCAGCCUUGCAGCAAAAGCGGCAGGCCAGCCUGAAGCAGAGGGAACCCCGGACGCAUUUCCGGCGCUCUCUGUCGCUGGAGUGCAAGGCAGGCGAGCUGACGAGCGGCGCCCAAGCGCUCUACUCCAUGGUGCGCCCCAGCCCCAAGGCGCCUGGCCUCUCCCCUCUCCAAGCACAGGCCAGGGGUAGGAGCAUCGGCAGCCAAAGCCGCAACCUGAAGGGAGGCAGCCAGGUGCCUCUCAGCCAAUCUUCUCCCUUGGGUAGCUCGGAUUCCUUUUCCCCUUUCAGGAGGGUCCUCGCUGAGCUAGACCAAAGAGACCCCCCCUUCUCAGACCCCUACCACCUGUCCUCGCUGUCUCCUGCCUACGGUUUGCAUCCCCCGCCUCCUUCCCUGUCGGCCCCCUACCCGGCUUUCCGCCAGCCUCAAGACGCCUUUCCUUCCUCCAGCCCUUCCGCUGCCCCACCUAAGCCUCCGCCCCCUCCCCACUUUCCCAUCAUGACGGGUCACUUGCCCCUCAAAACGAGGUCCUCCACUUUUCAGCCCUGCCUCACAGACCACCCUCUCCGGCCUCACAGCCACUUCCCAGUCUCCUCUCGACCAGGGGUCAAUGGGAGCCCCCCUUCUCAGCUGGAGCACGAGAACCUCUAUUAUGAGAUUGUGGGGGAGCCUCCUGCCUACCCUGGCCUGGCCCGCCCCUGGCCCUCUUACCCACCCCCCGAGUACCUGGCCACUUUCAAUGCCUCCUACGGGGUCUUUGAGAGGCCCUGGCGCCAGGCCCAUCUCCCUCCGGCUGCCUCCUCUCUUCAGCCCAUCUUAAAGAACUCCCAGCUGCAAAUCCAGUCGAUGCCUCCUGCAGUCACCCGCCAGGAGCCCAUCUACGUCAACGUGCCCUUCCCUGAGCCCUCCUUCGUCAGCCCCACGCCGUCCCCUCCCCCCGAAGCAGCCCAUCCCCGCAGUCAUUCUGACCCGGGAGCUCCUCAGGCGUUGCCCCAGCCCAGCAGGCCUCCCCUGCCUCAGAAGCAGAAGCUGGCAUGGGGCUACACACCCUCAGGGCAACACCGCCAACUGAUGGACGUUUUGCCUUGCAGUCGUGCCGUGUGGCAGUUCUACCGCCCACCCUCUGCGUGUUGGGGACACCCCUCUUACGGUCCGGAACCCAUUAUCACCUACGAUGGUCCCGCCCCCCGCUCGGGGAGCCAGGCCUCAGCUCCCUUGCAGAAGCUGGAUGAGUCUUCCCCACAGUAUGGCAAUGUGGAAAGGAGAGAGGGCCCUCCAUCCGGGUGCUACCUUGGACCCAGCUGGACAGUGUACGCUGAGGGCCAGACGCACAGCUACUGCUGAAGGACAGGCGGUGACCAGAUGCGCAGUUUGGAUCCUCGGGGCUGGGCUCCGGGUUUUCCUGCCCUCUUCCUUGCCAGUAUUCAUGGGAUCACACAGUACGGAUUGUUGUGAAAGAAAUAAAAGACUUCGGAAGGACCUAUCCGACUAGGUUACUCUGAGGUCACGUCUUUGGGCUCCCACAUUGGGCAAUUGUGUCUGCCACCUUUGGAGGACCUCCUUGUGGUUUGAAGAGCACAUGAUUCUUUCAAGGCAGGAGGUUUCUCUCCAGAAAAUCAGCAUGGAUACCACACAGAAGAAUUUAGCAUGGACACCGUACCGAAGAACAUUUGACGGCAUCAUUUCAGUCUGUGGGGUACCAGAAUGCCUCCGCCAGUUCCAUCGUGUGUGUCCCAUCUUCCAGUUUCGGUUAUGCCCCACGUUGCUUUGUUCCAUCUUGCCCUCUUUCCCAACUACGGACUUCUAACCCCAGAGGAGAGUGUUUGGUUUCAAUGAGAUGACUGCAGCCGAUUCCUUCCGGAUUACAUCACCUCGACCACUUUGGCAACCUGAGUCACAAUAGGAUGCUUGGGAUCCAUCCAGGGCUGCUAUAACUGUGCUCAUGUCGUGCGCUGAACAGACACAGAGAGGCGCUGUGGACCACGUUUUGCUCACUGCUGGGGAAGACUGCAGGCUUUGGAAGGGAGAGAGAGAGCCAUUAACAACUACCCCGAAUCUUUGUUCCUCUUCUUUUCCAGCAUUCAAACCAAAAUAGUUCUAACUUGUAAUAAGCAUCCCUUUUAACCCAAUUAAAAUAUUAACCACCUUCCCCUGCUGGUUUUCCCUGAGAUUAAGCCAAUUCCUGGAAGAAAGCCAUCCCCUGGGCUGGGACAUAGAUGUCCAAGGAAAUACCGUAUAAGAUGCCACCAAGGAAGACAGGCGGCCACUCCUGCAACCUCCUCUUACAAGAGCCCACACUCUUUGCAGCUAGUCCGAGUGGCAUGUUGAGAAAAAGCUAGGGGGAGCAUGUUGGUCUCGUGCAUUUCUGUAUUUAUUUAGGAUUUUGGAAUGUGUGUGUGUGUGUGUGUGUGUGUGUGUUUUACAAAAGAACUGGGAGUGAGGGGCAAGGGGGGAGAGGAGGAGAAGCAUACGGUGUGUGCCUAGCAUGGGAGGGCUCAUGUGUGACUAAGUUGCAGGCUUGAGGGUUGCUUGGGUUCAUGUCUACUUGAUAUGUGCAUUCGUGUCUGGAGUUGGCGCAUGUGUGAGUGCGUGUGUCUGUAAAAGUGUUUGUGCAUGUUCCACAAGACAGUAUUUUAGAUAUACUGGGUAGGAGGAAGGGAGAGAGGCAUUUAUGCCUUCUUCCUCUUGAGGACCAGUUCCACUUUGGGCCAGUUUCUCAAUUUUGGCCAUUUUAAGGGGUUUAAGAUACAUAUGAUGAUUGGGGAAUGCUGGGAGUUGAAGUCCACAUGUCUUAAAAGUAGCCAAGGCUGAGAAACACUAGGGAAAGAUGAAAAUCCCCCUCCCUCCCUCCAGCAUCCCCUUCCCCAAAGCACUUUUCUAGGCUCCUUUUCAAAUUAUUAUAUUGUCAGAUUUCAUUUUUUUUAAAAAAAGAAGAGGGGGUGUAAGGGAUGAGGAAACAGAACAAGCAACAAUGGUAAUGCAUCACGGAGAAGGAAGACCUAUAUAUAUUUUUCCUGAAUGCAGUCCAAAUUUUAAUUCAAGCACUUUGGGAUCUUAUUGCUUUCAGAGAGAGCCAAGCACAAGUUUUAAGCUUCUUUCCCCAUGAAAUCCAUAGCCGGCUCCUGGGCACGCUUGCUUGGAAGUCAACCCCACAAAGGAAUGCAAGACUGGAUUUGUGCACAACAAGAUGACAGCCUUAAUUGUGUUAUUUUGAAGCCUCCGUGGGAUCUUUUUUGGGAAUAGGUGGGUGGGUAAAGGGGUUGAAUUCCUCCAGAGUAUGGGAUCUGGGAUCUUGGCCACCCCAGCUGGCUGGCACACUUGGGUAGCAAGAUCUAGAGGUCCUCACUAGAGACCUUCCCGGCUUGUCAAGAACUUGAUUCAUCUCUACAUCAGAAGGAUAUGCAAUUGAGUCCAACAUCUUCAACUCCUCCCAUAAAACAGCUUUCGGCGUAGAAUGUCUCAACCUGCGCUAAGAGUUUUCGAUCUGGGAUUGAUUCCCUCCUCGUCAUACCGAUCGGUUCCACAUCUGGGUUUUAACACAGAAAUUGCACUAACUUUACCACUUUUUUUUGUAACAAAACAAAACGAAGCAAAAACGCCACCAUGGUUAAAAACUUCCCAGUUGUUCCACAUUCUCAAUAGCUUGUUAUAUUCCUUGUUUCUCCAGGAACUUGAAAACAUUGGAGAGCUGUUCCUCUUCUGGGUUUUGCAAAGACACACCUGGGGUGGGGCAAAAAAGGGGCUUAAUGAUCCAUGAAUGAAAAUAAUGUUGGAACUUGAUCCAUGGUGUUGGUUGUGUCGGGCUGGGGAGACAGAGCAACCUUGGGAAUGGUUAACUAUCGUUAGUUCUACGUAGGUUGAGUGUCCAAGAUCUGGAGAGCACCUAGGUUCACAAGUAAAUGCUGGCCACGCUAAAUGAACCUUGAAAUUACCUGAAAAUAGAUUAUGGGUGUGCAAAAGUGAUUGCCAAGCACUUUUCUUUCAUGAAUUUCUAGCACUUGGCUGGGCAGUGACUAUUUCCACCCGAAUAUCACCAAACGUUGGAUAUUUAUAAGAUUGUUCUAUCAACACUUAUUUGACCAGGGAGAUUGGGAUGCUCAUUGCAGUUCCGACAUUAUGUGUGACUGGAUUUGAAGCAAAAGUGCAGCUUGAAUGCUUUUGACUAUAAAGGUAGUCCUCGACUUGCAACCAUGAUCGGAACCAGAGUUUUGGCUGCUCAUGAUGUGGUUGUUAAGCAAACCACUAUGUGAUCGGACCCAAAUGAGCUACCAUUUCUAACUAUGGUUGUUGAGCAAAUCAGAAAUCAUUAUGUGAAUCACUCAGUCAGGACCUAGCUGGGAAGGUUAGGGUUAAAAUUGCGAUCGCCUGACUACAGGAUGCUGUAACCAUUGUAAACGUUGAGCCGGUUGCCAAGCAACCAAACCACAACCACAAUCCUGGUGCAAUUAUUGCAGGGAGGAUGUACAGGUAGUCCUUGACUUACAACAGUUCAUUCAGUGACCGUCCAAAGUUACAACAGCACUGAAAAAAGCGAUGUGCGGCCAUUUUUCACAUGACUGUUAAUUUGAGGCCUUCAACUAGGCAGAGGCCUACACCAACUUUAAGGCCUAGUUGUCUUGUUCUCACAGUGGCUUGGCAACUGACUCAUAUUUAUGACGGUGGCAAUGUCCCUGGGGGUGGGCAUGUGAUCCCCUUUUUGUGACUUUCUGGCGAGCAGAGCCAAUGGGGAAGCCCAAUUCACUUAAGAACCCCGUUACUAAAUUAACCAGAGAAGCCAUUUGCUUAACAAAGGUGGCAAGAAAGGUGGUAAAACGGACCAAAAUUCAUUUAAGCACGGGCCUGUUUCUGAUAGCAGAAACAGGCUCAAUUAUGGUCAUAAGAUGAGGAAUGAUUGUAACUUUUAAGAAUGGGUCAUGUCAGUUUUGUGACAUGUCCCUUGUAACUUUAAACCAGGGGUCCCCAAACUUGGCAACUUUAAGACUUGUGGACUUCAAUUCCCAGAAUUCCUCCGCCAGCUAUUGAAGUCCACAAGUCUUAAAGUUGCCAAGUUUGGAGACCUCUGCUUUAAAGCAUCCGCUAAACGAAUGGCUGUAAGCCAAGGACUACGUGUAAAAGCAAGGUGCGGCUCCAGAAGACCUCUUGACCUGGGAAUCUGAACAGAACUGGUUCCAUGCUGAUCCAAUUCUCCCCACCCCCCUGGCUGUUUAGCUCUGUCUCUAACCCAUCCCACAAAAUUGGAAUGGUAGAUUUUUGAGAUGGAAGAAUGGGGGCAUCCCUGCACCCAUCCUGCCGUUGACUUUUGAAUCCACUCUCGACUUCGGCAGGUGGUGAUGCAUGUUCUUAACCACAUUUGUCCCGUCUGCAAUUUAUGCAGGAGUACCAAACCCAUCGCAUCCGCAGCUGUAGUUAUGUGGCCACGGCUGCCCCUCUCGCGCACCGUGGCUUUCCUGCCACCUUAUUCUGCCACAUGUGGGCCAGCCACGGCUUUACAGCACCUGCUCUUUCCUUUGUGUGAUGCCUCCACGAGAGAGGCAGUACUUCAAAAGGGAAGACGACCAUCCCGUAUUCUCCACCCCACCCCCCCAAUUCUGUGAAGCGAUCACUGCCAUACUGGCCUGUCUAUAUGUGCCUGUGUUUUUAACCGCCCAUGUUUCCUUGUUGCCUCUGAUGUGCUGCAGUUCUUUUUUUUUUUGGAUAUAAGUUGACUUCCCUUUUUUUCUGGGAUUCUUGUACUAAAUGGCUUAAUUCAAACCAAUUAACAAAUAAAGGCAAACUGGCAAGCUU